rnacentral:rRNA from 1 species
UACGAAGGGGACUAGCGUUGUUCGGAAUCACUGGGCGUAAAGCGCACGUAGGCGGAUGUGUCAGUCAGGGGUGAAAUCCCGGGGCUCAACCUCGGAACUGCCUUUGAUACAGCACGUCUUGAGUCCGGGAGAGGUGAGUGGAACUCCGAGUGUAGAGGUGAAAUUCGUAGAUAUUCGGAAGAACACCAGUGGCGAAGGCGGCUCACUGGCCCGGUACUGACGCUGAGGUGCGAAAGCGUGGGGAGCAAACAGG